AACGAACGCUGGCGGCAUGCCUAACACAUGCAAGUCGAACGAGAACUUCGGGUCUAGUGGCGCACGGGUGCGUAACGCGUGGGAACCUGCACUUAGGUUCGGAAUAACUCCCCGAAAGGGGUGCUAAUACCGGAUAAUGUCUUCGGACCAAAGAUUUAUCGCCUUUGGAUGGGCCAGCGUUGGAUUAGCUAGUUGGUAGGGUAAAAGCCUACCAAGGCGACGAUCCAUAGCUGGUCUGAGAGGAAGAUCAGCCACACUUGGACUGAGACACGGCCCAGACUCCUACGGGAGGCAGCAGUGGGGAAUAGUGGACAAUGGGCGAAAGCCUGAUCCAGCAAUGCCGCGUGAGUGAUGAAGGCCUUAGGGUUGUAAAGCUCUUUUACCCGGGAUGAUAAUGACAGUACCGGGAGAAUAAGCUCCGGCUAACUCCGUG
rnacentral:rRNA from 1 species